rnacentral:rRNA from 2 species
GGACUACUGGGGUAUCUAAUCCUGUUUGAUCCCCACGCUUUCGUGCCUCAGUGUCAAUACACCCGUAGUAAGCUGCCUUCGCAAUUGGUGUUCUAUGUCAUAUCUAAGCAUUUCACCGCUACAUGACAUAUUCCGCUUACCUCCAGAUGAUUCAAGAUCUAUAGUAUCAAUGGCAGUUUCCGAGUUAAGCCCGGAGAUUUCACCACUGACUUACAAACCCACCUACGCACCCUUUAAACCCAGUGAAUCCGGAUAACGCUUGCACCCUCCGUAUUACCGCGGCGGCUGGCAC